rnacentral:rRNA from 1 species
ACGCUCGACACCUACGGGAGGCAGUAGUGGGGAAUAUUGCACAAUGGGGGAAACCCGUACGAUGCAGCGACGCCGCGUGAAGGAAGAAGUAUCUCGGUAUGUAAACUUCUAUCAGCAGGGAAGAAAGUGACGGUACCUGACUAAGAAGCCCCGGCUAACUACGUGCUAGCAGCCGCGGUAAUCUGAGCGGGCUGGCAAGGC